rnacentral:rRNA from 1 species
UACGGGAGUGGCAAGCGUUAUCCGGAAUUAUUGGGCGUAAAGCGUCCGCAGGCGGUCUUGUAAGUCUGUUGUUAAAGCGUGGAGCUUAACUCCAUUUCAGCAAUGGAAACUGCAAGACUAGAGUGUGGUAGGGGCAGAGGGAAUUCCCGGUGUAGCGGUGAAAUGCGUAGAUAUCGGGAAGAACACCAGUGGCGAAGGCGCUCUGCUGGGCCAUAACUGACGCUCAUGGACGAAAGCCAGGGGAGCGAAAGGGAUUAGAUACCCCUGUAGUCCUGGCCGUAAACGAUGAACACUAGGUGUCGGGGGAAUCGACCCCCUCGGUGUCGUAGCCAACGCGUUAAGUGUUCCGCCUGGGGAGUACGCACGCAAGUGUGAAACUCAAAGGAAUUGACGGGGGCCCGCACAAGCGGUGGAGUAUGUGGUUUAAUUCGAUGCAACGCGAAGAACCUUACCAGGGUUUGACAUCCUGCGAAUCCCUUGGAAACGAGGGAGUGCCUUCGGGAGCGCAGUGACAGGUGGUGCAUGGCUGUCGUCAGCUCGUGUCGUGAGAUGUUGGGUUAAGUCCCGCAACGAGCGCAACCCACGUCGUUAGUUGCCAGCAUUUAGUUGGGCACUCUAGCGAGACCGCCGGUGAUAAACCGGAGGAAGGUGUGGAUGACGUCAAGUCAUCAUGCCCCUUACAUCCUGGGCUACACACGUACUACAAUGCUACGGACAAAGGGCAGCAAACUCGCGAGAGCUAGCAAAUCCCAUAAACCGUGGCUCAGUUCAGAUCGUAGGCUGCAACUCGCCUACGUGAAGGAGGAAUCGCUAGUAAUCGCAGGUCAGCAUACUGCGGUGAAUACGUUCCCGGGCCU